rnacentral:lncRNA from 1 species
GUUUUGUUGCAUCAGCAUCUUAGUUUAUGGGGACAUGAGAUUUGUUUGUUUGAACUUUGAAAUUCAGUUGUAUUUUUCCUUUCGACAAUGUUAUAUUUUGGUAGUCGCUUUUUCUCCCUUUGAUAUUUCAACUUAUGUAAAUAUCCCGAGUGUAUGGCUGUUAGAGCAAUCAUAUAGUGAUUGACUAUGAACUUAAAAAAAUGGCAUAUUUCUACAGAAUGAUUCAUGAUAUGCGCAUAAAAGAUGGAAAAGCAACAUAUGUCUUCCUAUUGUUAUUGUUAUCAUUGAUGUUGCUUUGAAACUUCUGCAUUUAGUUUGGGUGUGUUAGAAUAGUUGAAUUGGAUUUGUUUCUAAAAUAAGCUAUUCAUAAAGAGUGGGAUAUUUCCUAAUUUUUCUGUCUAUUUUUAGGAUGAUAGGAUGGUUUACUGUUAAGCUUUCUAGAAGUCAAUUCUUACAUUGUAUUUAUCUUUGUAAUUUCUACUUGGAACAGAAUUAGGUUUCAGUCUUCCCAAAUUUCACUUGGUAUCAAAGCCAUACUAGUUUUGUUUAUAAAGGAUUACAAGUUUUUUCCUGCCAUUUAUAGCAUUUGCAAUAUUUGAGUAAUCAUCUUGGAAUAUUUUCCAACAGGAGGGUACAUCACCCUUGAACCUAUAUGUUCAAGAUGAAUUUCAUCGUUCUGCACAAGCGGGGGUUGGAGGUGUCAAAAGCAUUACAAAUUAUGAUCCGGUAGAAUAUGUGCUGGAUGAUCAUAAUAACCUCGUAGUUUCCUCUUUCACUUGUUUGACAUUUAUUGCUUUGUAGAAGAUUUUAUUGCUUUAAUACGUUAACAACUUUUGUAGGUUUUGAAAUCAUUAAACAGAGCAUGGAACAGACUUCUCUGAUGUCUUAUACCUUGAUUCUAUGAAUAAGAGAUAUACUGAAGAGGCCUUUUCUUGUUCUGUCUUCAUUUUGAAGGUAGUUAGCUAAUCCACUUGUAUGGAGAAAUUUUCUUUCUACGCCAACAACCAAUGACUUUAUUCUUAAAGCUCAAAGAAUUUUUCCCAAAUGUUCCUGGUUGGCGAAUGUCCUAUUCCAUUUGAAGAAUUACUUGAUGCUAACGAAGUUUUCUGUGUAGGUUAUUUUACUCAUAACUUUAUUCUUAAAUAGGUUUGAAGCACAUCUCUCAAUACGCAGCAUCUUUUCUAGGUGUGGGUGUUGCAUGGAGGACUGCAAAUGCCGAAUCAGGAUCAACGAUUGUCAUCUUCGAGUUAGGAGCAAUAGGAUUAGUUUUAUGAUCUUCUACCUGAUAGAAUAGGAGGAUUUGCUGCCUAUCUAAUUCAUGAGGAUAAAGAGUUCUAUUUUUUAGGUGCAUGAUUAUAGAUAUAGAGCAUGCUUGCCAUGCUUUUUUAAAUAUAGA